AACGAACGCUGGCGGCAGGCUUAACACAUGCAAGUCGAGCGCCCCGCAAGGGGAGCGGCAGACGGGUGAGUAACGCGUGGGAACGUACCUUUUGGUUCGGAACAACUCCGGGACACUGGAGCUAAUACCGGAUAAGCCCUAACGGGGAAAGAUUUAUCGCCGAAAGAUCGGCCCGCGUCUGAUUAGCUAGUUGGUGAGGUAACGGCUCACCAAGGCGACGAUCAGUAGCUGGUCUGAGAGGAUGAUCAGCCACACUGGGACUGAGACACGGCCCAGACUCCUACGGGAGGCAGCAGUGGGGAAUAUUGGACAAUGGGCGCAAGCCUGAUCCAGCCAUGCCGCGUGAGUGAUGAAGGCCUUAGGGUUGUAAAGCUCUUUUGUCCGGGAAGAUAAUGACUGUACCGGAAGAAUAAGCCCCGGCUAACUUCGUG
rnacentral:rRNA from 1 species